rnacentral:lncRNA from 1 species
GAGCACACCUGAGACACAAGGACAAAUUAAAGCCAGUGAAUAAAACUAAAGGUCACUUUAAAGGAGUAUAAAGCUACAGUGGACAUAACGUGGCAUAGGUGAUCUUGACACCACAGAACUGUGAAGCCUGCAAUCCUACAAUAUAGAGGGGUAUGAGGAAGACAUCUCAGGAUACUGAAGAGUGUUGCAGAGGACCCACAAAUAGUCCUGAGCAUGAGAUGGUGGACAACAAACCCAUUUUUGGUGUGUUGCAGCAAGAGCGCUGGCCUGCCAUGAUCUGCUACAUUCUACCUGGAAAUACAAGUCAGAAGUCAGCCUGUCAUAUUUUUUCAAAAGGUGACUUGUCAAAAUGAGACUUCUUUCAUAAAAUCAGUCUGGUUGGGCAUGGUGGCUCACGCCUGUAAUCCUAGCACUUUGGGAGGCUGAAGUAGGUGGAUGGCUUGAGCCCAGGAGUUUGAGACCAGCCUGGGCAACAUGGCAAAAUCCCAUCUCUACAAAAAAUACAAAAAUUAGCCGGGCAUAGUGUCACACACCUGUGGUCCCAGCUACUCAGGAGACUGAGAUGGGAGGAUCACCUGAGCCCGGGAGGUUAAGGCUGCAGUGAGCCAGGAUUGGGCCACUGCACUACAGCAUGGGUGACAGAGUGAAAUGCUGUCUCAAAAAACAACAACAAAAAAUCUCUCAAUCUGUCCAAAUAGUUAGAUUGUCUUCAGUAAUCUUUCCAUCGCGAUCUUGCUUUGUUUCUACUACUACUCUGAUGCUACAUAAUUAAGGUCACCAAUCGUUGUCACUGUCUUUCCAAACCUGUUGUUCCUUACUUCCUCCGGCCAUUCUUCCUUGUCCCCCUCCCAUUCAUCAUCCAGACACACACACACACACACACACACACACACACACACACACACACAUACAUUUUAACAAUACCAAACUCCUUGUAGUUCCCCUAAAUGAAUCAUGUUGUUUCCCUUACCUGAAAUGCCCAAUCCCUUUUUUAUUUUCAUUGCUAACUCCUCUCAUCUUUCCAGAGUGUUCACGUCUACCAGGAGUGUUCUUGUCCCUCCCAUUCCUUUCUACUCUAGCUCCACUCACAGUUCUGUGUAAUCCCAUCUUGUGGACUAACCCGUGUUAAAAAGAUUUGUUUGCUGAUUUGAUUCUUCCCUCCACUACACCCCCCCAUAACACAAAAUGAGUCCCUUAAAAGCAGAAAUGUUGCCUCACUGGUCUCCAGCACCCAGUGGAGUAUUUGGUAUGAAUGUCGGUCGAACUGUACUCUCUCCAGUGUGCAUUUUGUUCCAGGAAGACUAGGUAAUAGCAGGAGCAUUAGAAGCCUCAUCUUCAGGGCUGUUUGACAUUGAUUUUUUAAAAAAUACAUUUCCUGAGGUCUCACUAGUGCCAGAAUAUGAAAAAAAUAAUCAUUCUUCUCUGACUAAAGUGGAAUCACCAGUGAUUUAUUCUCUCCUUAAUCAGUAAUACUAGCUAACAUUUAUAUAGCCCUCACUAGGUCCCAAGCACUUUGAACAUAUCAUCUUAUUUCAUGUCUAUAACCACCUUCAGGUAGGCACUGUUGUUACCCUCCAAUUUACAAAGGAGGAAACUGAAGUGCAGGGAGGUUAAGUAAGUGGCAAGCUAGAAUCUGGAUACAGGUUGUCUGGUUCCAGGGACCAGGCAGUUAGCCAUUAUGCUAUGCGGCAUGAUUUCUUGCUUUCCUUGCCCUUUUUUCUUAAAUGUUUAAUUACAUAAGUAGCAUAUCAAUACAUUUAAAUUGUCAAAAAUUCAGAAACAAAGCAAAAACUCACUACUAUUUGAUGGGUAUCUUUCAAGAUCUUUUUCUUUGUUUACAUACAUAUAUACAUUAUGUGUGUGUACAUAUACACAAAGAAAUAUGUAUUUUUAUGUAACUGGAUUAUGCCUUAUUUUUCUAUAGAUUUGUUUUCAUUUAACAAUUUGUCUUAAAGGUCUUUUCAUAUCGAUGCAUAUUGAUCUAUUUUAUUCUUUGAAUGUUGCAUAGUAUGGAUAUAUUCCAUAGAAUGGGUGUAAUAUAGUUUAGGUAACCAUUUUUCUUUUGCGAGUCAUUUAUGUUGUUUCUGAUUUCACUGUUACAAACCAGGCUGCACUGAGUAUCCUUGAACAUGUCUCUUCACAUUCAUGCAACUAUACGUCUAGGAAAGAUCCUCAGAAAUAAAAUUGUUGGGAUGAAGUUUGUGUUGACUUUUUUUUUUUUAAUGGUGACUCACAUCCUGCCUUCCAGGGAGGCUGUGGCUUUUAUUGUUUCAUCAUUCACAUAUUAAAAGGGUUGUGUACACUUGGUUGAAUUUAUGGCAGAGUAAAAAAUCAUAAUAAAAUAAAUAAAAGGGCUGUGGCUGGAGGUUUUCCAGGAAAUCAACUCUCUAUAAAAGCACUGCUCACACCCUAACAUGCCAAGGAAAGCAAAGGCCUUCUCUCUUCUCCACCUCAUCUUUAGGAAAAAGGAAUUUUGGCCUGAGUUGCAGAAUAAACAGUGUCCUUGAGAGCAUACAGUGGGAUUCCUGAAAAAGAAGGUGGCAGGCAAGAGGAAGGUGAAACUUUCUGUGGGAAGAAAUCAAGUGGCUCUGUCAAAAGACAAAAUUACAACCCAUUUAGUUAAAGAUCUUAAUAGGCUUUUAUCGGUGACUCUUGAAUCAGGCAACAACUCAAUCUGUAAAUGAGCUGAACAGAGAAGUUUGGCUUUAUAGACAAAAAGGGCUGGGGAAGCAGACAUAGAGAACAAAAAGUGGAUUAGUCAUUUUGAAGUUGCUUUCUUCCUAAAGGUUAAAGCAGAGGGGACUUCCUUAUCAUGCCGGGUAAAACUGGCCUGUUUGGGGAUUUGGCUCUCUCUCUCUCCCUGCCACCCCCAACCCCCUGAUUCCUUGGAAGUUCAGAUAAACACCUUGGUUUUGGUU